CAUGUCGUUAAAAUGUUUGUGACCUUAUGUACUCUUGAAUCAUAUCACAGCCAUUUUGACGAGUUUGG
rnacentral:pre_miRNA from 12 species